GACCUCGUAGCUCAGUUGGCAGAGCGUUGGACUAGUAUCCCAAAGGUCGCGGGUUCGAUUCCCACCGUGGUCA
rnacentral:tRNA from 1 species